ensembl:lncRNA
AGUCAUGAUGUUCCUGUGCACUCUGCUUCUGCUGUCAAUAAUUCAACAUGGAUGCUUUGCACAGACAAUAACACCACUGCAGGACAGAACACAAGUUACUGAAGGGAAUCCAGUUAAUCUGUCAUGCAAAUAUGAUGUCAGUGUACAGAAUUUACUUUGGUAUCGACAGUAUCCGGGAUCAGGACUGGAAUUUCUGCUCCUUGUCGUUGAGUCACCCAAGAAAAAUGUAGUAUAUGCAGAUCCCCCUAUUCCUAGACUGGAUGGUGAAUUGAGUAUGAAAGAUAAACGAGUGGAUCUGGAGAUCUCUUCUGCUGAAGUGACAGACUCUGCUCUGUACUACUGCGCUCUGAGGCCCACAGUGACAGAAAACAUGACAACACUGUACAAAAACCUCCAAUCGGUGGUCAUAAAAGUAUAUAUAUAUAUAUAUAUAUAUAUAUAUAUAUAUAUAUAUAUACUAUAAUAAUAUAUAUAAAGACACUUCAUGCAGAGGUGUGUUAGUAAUAACACACAGAGGUCUGUUAUUAAACAUAGAUAUAUCUAGGCUUACAUCCACCUAACCCUACAACUAAUAUAAGGCUAAACUGAACAACAACAACAACAACAAACAAUUUAAUAUCAAAGUCAGCUAAACAACACCAUUAUAAACUUGCUCAAAAAAAAAAAAAAAACAAGGUGGCACAUUUUCCUGUUUUGAGUGUUUACUGUAAAAUGUAAUACAAACCACAGCCAGCUGAUUUUCUUGUUCCUUAAGAAAGGAAAGUUAAAAUAUUCACAAUUAUCCUCACUGGAUUUGAUUCUAUUUGACUAUUUUACUGAAACGUGUUUCCCCUGGCCAGUGUAUGGACACAGACACUUGUGAUGUGAUGGCUAAAAUUAUCCACAAGAGGGAGUUCUUCACUUAAAAAAUUCUUUAAACGGCUAAUAAGGGGAGGAGAUACAAGGCAAUUCAUUCAGGCAUGCAGAGGUUUCAAACAGUUGCUCAUCUGUUCCUUGUCAGUAAUGCUAUUCCUAUUUUGUCUGUGGUUUAUCUCCCUCUUAACAGGUAAGAUCAAUGCAAUUAAUCAAACAAACAACUUAAGAAAAAAAAAACAAUAUAACAUACUUUACUUCUGUAGUUCUGUUCAUCUCCAUUCAUUAUUCCCAUCGUUCUUCCUCUCUUUCUCUUAGGUGAUGCCUCUAGUGAGGGAAUAGCACCAGUCUCUCCUAAUGAAUUUGUCUCAAAAAGGGAUCGCAAUCACCCUGUCCUGCAAUUACAAUGGAUCAGCUAAUAUAGAUGCUCUUCAUUGGUAUCGUCAGUACCCGAGAUCCAGACCAGACUUCCUGUUUCUAGUUAAUGAAGCUGCAUUUAUGCAAACAGCUGAUCCUCCAAUUGCUGGAAUAUCUGCUAGAUUAAAUGAGGAGAAAAAUCGUGUGCAUCUGGAGAUCACUGGCACUGCAUUAACUGAUUCUGCUCUGUACUA